AUUGAACGCUGGCGGCAUGCUUUACACAUGCAAGUCGAACGGUAACAGGGUGCUUGCACCGCUGACGAGUGGCGAACGGGUGAGUAAUGCGUCGGAACGUGCCGAGUAGUGGGGGAUAACGCAGCGAAAGUUGUGCUAAUACCGCAUACGUACUGAGGUAGAAAGUGGGGGACCUUCGGGCCUCACGCUAUUCGAGCGGCCGAUGUCUGAUUAGCUAGUAGGUGAGGUAAAGGCUCACCUAGGCGACGAUCAGUAGCGGGUCUGAGAGGAUGAUCCGCCACACUGGGACUGAGACACGGCCCAGACUCCUACGGGAGGCAGCAGUGGGGAAUUUUGGACAAUGGGCGAAAGCCUGAUCCAGCCAUGCCGCGUGUCUGAAGAAGGCCUUCGGGUUGUAAAGGACUUUUGUCAGGGAGGAAAUCCCUAGUGCUAAUAACACUGGGGGAUGACAGUACCUGAAGAAUAAGCACCGGCUAACUACGUGCCAGCAGCCGCAGUAAUAC
rnacentral:rRNA from 1 species